rnacentral:pre_miRNA from 1 species
AGUGGGAUAGCUGGAUUAUAUGGUGGUUCCAAUCCUAGUCUUUUGAGGAAUCUCCAUACUGCUUUUCAAAGCAAUUGUACUAAUUUACAAUUUCACCAACAAU